CCUACGGGAGGCAGCAGUGAGGAAUAUUGGUCAAUGGGAGAGAUCCUGAACCAGCCAAGCCGCGUGAGGGAAGACGGCCCUAUGGGUUGUAAACCUCUUUUGUCGGAGAACAAAACCCGGGACGUGUCCCGGACUGCGUGUAUCCGAAGAAAACGCAUCGGCUAACUCCGUGCCAGCAGCCGCGGUAAUACGGAGGAUGCGAGCGUUAUCCGGAUUUAUUGGGUUUAAGGGGUGCGUAGGCGGUCCGUUAAGUCAGCGGGAAAAGUGUGGGGCUCAACCCCGUCGAGCCGUUGAAACUGGCAGACUGGAGUUGGCGAGAGGUACGCGGAAUGCGCGGUGUAGCGGUGAAAUGCAUAGAUAUCGCGAAGAACUCCGAUUGCGAAGGCAGCGUACCGGCGCCAGACUGACGCUGAGGCACGAAAGCGUGGGGAUCGAACAGGAUUAGAUACCCUAGUAGUC
rnacentral:rRNA from 1 species